AACGAACGCUGGCGGCAGGCCUAACACAUGCAAGUCGAGCGAGCAUUUCGGUGCUAGCGGCGGACGUGGGAGUAACGCGUGGGAACGUGCCCUUUUCUGCGGAAUAGUCCUGGGAAACUGGGGUUAAUACCGCAUACGCCCUUUUGGGGAAAGAUUUAUCGGUGCAGGAUCGGCCCGCGUUGGCUUAGGUAGUUGGUGGAGUAAUGGCCCACCAAGCCGACGAUCCAUAGCUGGUGUGAGAGGAUGAUCAGCCACACUGGGACUGCGACACGGCCCAGACUCCUACGGAAGGCAGCAGUAGGGAGUCUUAGACGAUGGGGGCAACCCUAAUAAAGCCGUGCCGGGUGAGUGAUGAAGGCCUUAGGGUUGUAAAGCUCUUUAAGAUGGGAAGAUAAUGACGGUACCAGCAGAAGAAGCCCCGGCUAACUCCGUG
rnacentral:rRNA from 1 species